rnacentral:rRNA from 1 species
UACGUAGGUGGCAAGCGUUGUCCGGAUUUACUGGGCGUAAAGGGAGCGUAGGUGGAUAUUUAAGUGGGAUGUGAAAUACUCGGGCUCAACCUGGGUGCUGCAUUCCAAACUGGAUAUCUAGAGUGCAGGAGAGGAAAGUAGAAUUCCUAGUGUAGCGGUGAAAUGCGUAGAGAUUAGGAAGAAUACCAGUGGCGAAGGCGACUUUCUGGACUGUAACUGACACUGAGGCUCGAAAGCGUGGGGAGCAAACAGG